rnacentral:lncRNA from 1 species
UUUGACCCGAUGACGUGACAUGCCUAAUUGAUCAGCAAUUGCCUUUAUCAUUUUUCUCCAUUUUUUGAGUUUUCUCUUCUUUUUUUUCCCAUUUACCUCAUUCAAUAAUAAAUUUCUUCUUCUUUCGUUUACCUGUUAAUCUAAUUGACAACCCAACCGUUUCAUUUUUCCUUCAUUGAUAGUAAUAGCCCAUUAAUUUCUACCAAACCCUUUCUUCUUCCUUCUUGAUGACGACAAUUUCAAACACUAAUAUCUUUUCUUUCUCUCCAUGGAUAAAAUGAUAAUUCCUCUUUUCUUCUGGAAAUUCAUAUGUGAUAUGACUUGAAUUCAACUCAAGCUGAAAAUUUAAGGGGGAAAGGCUGGUAACUUUUUUUUCCUUUUUCUUUUUAUUCAAUCAUAAAUUCUUGGUUCAAAUAUGAUAUUCUUCACAUUUUCCUCUUUUGAUUUAUUUAUUUUAAUAGGGAAACGAUGUUGGACAGUGUUAUCAAUACAUGUCGUCACCAAAAAUUCAAGCUUCGGUCAUCUGUCUUCACUUUCUCUUGCACGUUCAAUCAUAAAUUAGAAGAAGCAUUUUUUUUUUUUUUAGUUUUUUGUAGCAAAAUAUCAAAUACUGUUAUCAUUUGUUGGUCUUAUAUUUAAUUCCUUUUUUUCUAAUUUUUUGGAGACUGACAUAUGUAUCUUCCUUUCAUCGGACUUCACAAGUCGUGCUUAUGGCGCCGGAAAAAGAGAAGAUUACUUGCCGUUCUCCUCUCGAUUUCCCCAUUGUGAGGUUUAGAACACACUAAUUUUUGAUAAGUUAAUUAACUUUAUUUGCAGUUGUGUUCUUAAUUCUAUCAAGAAAUUAUAAAAAAAAAUCGCAACGAUUUUUCCUUUUUGGAAAUAAUAGAAGCUAUUCAGAGUUGCAGGUUACUUUGCGCUAAGAGUAAAGCCUAAAUGUAGAAG